ACGGGUGAGUAAUACAUCGGAACGUGCCCUGUAGUGGGGGAUAACUAGUCGAAAGAUUAGCUAAUACCGCAUACGACCUGAGGGUGAAAGUGGGGGACCGCAAGGCCUCAUGCUAUAGGAGCGGCCGAUGUCUGAUUAGCUAGUUGGUGAGGUAAAGGCUCACCAAGGCGACGAUCAGUAGCUGGUCUGAGAGGACGAUCAGCCACACUGGGACUGAGACACGGCCCAGACUCCUACGGGAGGCAGCAGUGGGGAAUUUUGGACAAUGGGGGCAACCCUGAUCCAGCAAUGCCGCGUGUGUGAAGAAGGCCUUCGGGUUGUAAAGCACUUUUGUCCGGAAAGAAAUCGCACUUACUAAUAUUAGGUGUGGAUGACGGUACCGGAAGAAUAAGGACCGGCUAACUACGUGCCAGCAGCCGCGGUAAUACGUAGGGUCCAAGCGUUAAUCGGAAUUACUGGGCGUAAAGCGUGCGCAGGCGGUUGUGCAAGACCGAUGUGAAAUCUCCGGGCUUAACCUGGGAAUUGCAUUGGUGACUGCACGGCUAGAGUGUGUCAGAGGGGGGUAGAAUUCCACG
rnacentral:rRNA from 1 species